AGAAUCAACGCUGGCGGCGUGCCUAACACAUGCAAGUCGAACGCGGUUACCCCGCAAGGGGUGACUGAGUGGCAAACGGGUGAGUAACGCGUGGGUGACCUACCUUCGAGUGGGGGAUAACGUUUCGAAAGGAACGCUAAUACCGCAUGACAUCCUGCCUUUGGACAGGCGGAGAUCAAAGCCGGGGAUCGCAAGACCUGGCGCUUAAAGAGGGGCCCGCGUCCGAUUAGCUAGUUGGUGGGGUAACGGCUCACCAAGGCGACGAUCGGUA
rnacentral:rRNA from 1 species